rnacentral:lncRNA from 1 species
UGCUAAUCCAUUCCACGCUCUCCAGAAUUUCUCACUGCCUCUCACUGCUGUGCCAGAUUAAUUUAAAUGUAUCUGUUGAGGUGGAGAUAAUCAAUGCAAAUCACUGGCACCGGGCUUCGCAAAUAGAGUAUGUUUGAUUCACGAAGAGGCCUUAGCUAUAGAAGGUCACUCCUUCACUAGUUUUUUUUUUCUCCCCCAGAACUCGUUGUCUAAAGUGAUUGAACAGACAGAAUUUUACUGUAUCGUCUGCCUUGUUUUACCUGCGGCAGCCCUUCCGAGGAUCUACCUUUCACCCCUGCCUGUUCAGAAAGCAACCUGCAAUUGAACAAAAGGAUCCUUUACUUCCACUUGUGUAUUCUCUACUAUGAGCACUGAUAGCUCCCACCACAGAAAAAUACUGUAAGUAUGGACAGGCUGGCAUGCCCUGCUCUAAACCUCGCCGUGAAAG